AAAAGGACUUGACUGCAGCAGGCGAGCCCGGGACGGUUUAUUGCUGCAAUCCAGGCCCUUUUAUUGC
ensembl:miRNA mdo-mir-7258 mdo-mir-7258